ACCUGUACAGUUUCGCGUCGCAGAAAGUAGCAGAACUUGGAUUUAAAAUUAAGCUGAAUAAACGAGUGGGGAAUCAGCAAAGCCAGUGGUGAGAUCUCUAUCAAGAGCAUGUUCUCCGUUGGUGUGUCGAAGAAUUUAAGCAUCAAAUUCUAAAGUGGAAAACGAAGAGAGAUCCACAUAAUUCAAAUGAUGCAUGCGAACAGCUGCAGUCCUUGUCGUUUUGACUUUUCACUUCUACUGACGAUUCCGAUGUUUUUUCCUCAGAACUAUUUCGAAAAUACGAAAACGGAACAAACGCAGAUACGAUUUGCUUUAAAUCUUGUGUCUUCAGAAUCUCAAGAACUCUCGGAUGUGAAAGGAUGAAGGCAAAUUCCAGUUUGGUCAUCAAAACAUCGAAGACUCCAAUCAGCCUAUUCAAAAAUACUGUGACUUCAAAAUUUGAUAUUUCCGAUGAUUUUUCGAAAUGAGACUCUUUUUCGAAAAAUCCUUGAUCCAAAUAAAAGUUUGAAUUCAGUUUGAA